CAAGAUCGAACUGAAGAGUUUGAUCCUGGCUCAGAUUGAACGCUGGCGGCAUGCCUUACACAUGCAA
rnacentral:rRNA from 1 species